rnacentral:rRNA from 1 species
UACGGAGGGUGCGAGCGUUGUCCGGAAUCACUGGGCGUAAAGGGCGCGUAGGCGGCGCGGGCAGUCAACGGUGAAAGCUCGGGGCUCAACUCCGAGUCGGCCGUCGAUACUCCCGCGCUCGGGCACUGUAGAGGCAGGUGGAAUUCCGGGUGUAGCGGUGGAAUGCGUAGAGAUCCGGAAGAACACCGGUGGCGAAGGCGGCCUGCUGGGCAGUAGCUGACGCUGAGGCGCGACAGCGUGGGGAGCAAACAGG